CCGGCGCACGGGUGAGUAACACGUAUGCAAUCCACCUGUAACAGGGGAUAACCCGGAGAAAUCCGGACUAAUACCCAUAAUAUGGGCGCUCCGCACGGAGAGCCCAUUAAAGAGAGCAAUUUUGGUUACAGACGAGCAUGCGCUCCAUUAGCCAGUUGGCGGGGUAACGGCCCACCAAAGCGACGAUGGAUAGGGGUUCUGAGAGGAAGGUCCCCCACAUUGGAACUGAGACACGGUCCAA
rnacentral:rRNA from 1 species